rnacentral:rRNA from 1 species
CCUGAGAAACCCAAAAGAUCGAAUGGGGAGGUUCAGUGUCAGCGCAUACUUGUAUAUAUAUAAGUUAUGAUGUGGGUUACUUUCGGGUAUUGCCUGCACAUUCUUGUAUAUUUAGUUGCAAGAUGUUGUCGGCGUGCACUUCUCCCCUAGUAGAACGUCGCGACCCGUUGGAUGUCGGUUUACGGCCCAGGUGGGAGUCUUCGUUGUGGUGGUUUCAUCACAACAUUAAAAGACCCUUGGUGUUUUUUCCGACCGACUGUCCGGCGGUAUUCGUACGGUAUUUAGCCGCAUCAUAUAUUAUGCGUUCAUACCCGUCGCAAGCGAGGUAAGAUUCGGUAGUGCGGACCUAGUGCCGUCGCUGUGUCUGACCAGCUGUUGGUUGUACGGUGUUCUAGGACUGGCUAAAAAAUAAAUUACCGGUCGGCGAUGCUACUGCUUUGGGUACUUUCAGGACCCGUCUUGAAACACGGACCAAGGAGUCUAACAUGUGCGCGAGUCAUUGGGAUUUUUAAAAAAUUAAACCUAAAGGCGUAAUGAAAGUAAAGGUCGACCUUGUGUCGGCUGAGGGAGGAUGAGUUGUAUUAAGAUGCAGCUUCGCACUCCUGGGGCGUCUCAUUCUCAUUGUGAGGAGAGGCGCACCUAG